GACGAACGCUGGCGGCGUGCUUAACACAUGCAAGUCGUACGGUAAGGCCCUUUCGGGGGUACACGAGUGGCGCACGGGUGAGUAACACGUGAGUAACCUGCCCACAACUUUGGGAUAACGCUAGGAAACUGGUGCUAAUACUGGAUAUGUGCUCCUGCUGCAUGGUGGGGGUUGGAAAGCUCCGGCGGUUGUGGAUGGACUCGCGGCCUAUCAGCUUGUUGGUGGGGUAGUGGCCUACCAAGGCGGCGACGGGUAGCCGGCCUGAGAGGGUGACCGGCCACAUUGGGACUGAGAUACGGCCCAGACUCCUACGGGAGGCAGCAGUGGGGAAUAUUGCACAAUGGGCGCAAGCCUGAUGCAGCAACGCCGCGUGCGGGAUGGCGGCCUUCGGGUUGUAAACCGCUUUCAGCAGGGACGAAGCUUUUUGUGACGGUACCUGCAGAAGAAGCACCGGCUAACUACGUG
rnacentral:rRNA from 1 species